GUCAUGCGCAGUUCUACCUGUAGGUGGAGUCAAUUUGCAACGUAUUCUGAGGGGAGAAGCACAUGGAACGGAUCUGUUUUGUGGAAUGAGAUAUGCAUUGGAAAUAUCAAUGCAGAGUUCAAUCACAACACAAUCAGAAGCCUCAAUCAAGAAUUCUUCUCAGAGCUUUAUCAACUUGCAGCUUGAUUUCUGGAAAUUUGUGCAACAAAGAAAGUGGCAGUUGAAAAGAGAGUUUAUUGCGCAGAUUAAAUCUAUGCACUGUCAUCACUGAUAAGUGCACAGUUCUUCAUGACCUUCCUCUCAUUCUUGGAGGAGAAACCUCUCAUUUUUUUUAAACAUUGCUGACAGGACUGUGAUUGUGACACACCCUUCUUCAGGAUUCUGACCGUGAUAACAGAAGACAGCCAGGAUUCUUCCUCCACAAGAACUACAUUUGGAGUCUUCAUGCACAGCAUUAUUCUAGACUGAGCCAUUAUCAUGGAUGAACUUGAAAACCUUCCAGCUGCCAUGUGACUAAGUUCUGGACUGAUAUGUGCCAAAUUUGGAGUUUUUCUUUCCCUUGGACACAAUUCUCUGAAACCAAAACUACAUUUACUUAAAACCCUUCUGUUGAUGUAAGCAAAGGCUGUUUGAGAUCGUUAAAGGCUUAGUUCACCCAAAAAUGUAAAUUCUAUCAUCAGUUUUUCACUCUCAUGUUGUUUGACUUUGGUUAGUCUUUCAAACACAAACUUAGAUACUUUCAGUUGGAGGGACAGAAACCUCUCAGAUUUCAUUAAAAAUAAUUUCAUUUAUGUUUCAAAGUCUAACCAAAGUCUUAUGAUUUUGUGACGUCAUGAGGGUGAGUAAAUGAUGAGAGAAUUUCAUUAUUUAUUUUUUUUUUGCAAACUAUCGCUUUAAUCUUACUGUUGCACUAAGGUCAACAUUCUUUUUAAUUAAAGUGUUAAAUUGUCACCUGCCAAAGUUUAAACUGUCAAAAUUAAGCUAACAUUGAUUUUUGUUUCAUGGUGAGCUAUUCAGUUUCUUGUCAAAAGACUGUUAGUAUUAUUGGUUUAUUCAUCAGUCAUGAUUUGUAAUGCACAUUGUUACAUUAAUAAAAAAUGUUUAGAAUUUAGGGGUGCCAGAAUGGCAUUGUUUGGUACAUUGUAGUGUCUGAAGAAAAUUGAUGAGCAAUAAAUAAUGUUUUGCCUGAGAUCUGUUGUUGCUUUUUGUCUUAACUUAUAUUUUUUAGUUCAGCUUACUUGGAAAUUUUAAGGCAAUCGGUUUCCUAAGAUUUUCCUAGUAAUGUGAACACUAGUAAUAAGUUAACCCAACUAAUGAUUUUGAGUUAACAGAACUUGACCAACAAGUUCUCUUUACUUAACUGAAUUAAGUUAUGACAACUAAAAAUUAAUACACUACUUUACUUGGAAAUUUUAAGGCAAUCGGUUUCCUCACUUUUUCUAAGUAAAGUCAACUUAUUACAUUUUACAGUGUAAGCUAAAAAUGUAUUUUCUUAAAAUGAUAUUUUUCACAGAUAACAAAUCUGAUUAAUGCUAUAUCAGUGCUUGACAUUUAUUUGACAAUAUUUUUGACAUGCUAGUAGUCUAACCAAAGCUUUGACCAAUUACAUUCACGUAAAGAUCUUAGGAACUUUAUCAAGACAUAAGAACAGCAACAAGCUGGGUUCAUGGAAAUGAGAAGCAAAUGAUUCUUGCUGUAAAACUCCAAAUAAAUGUAGUGUGAGACUGUCAUAAAAUGAGAACUAGAUACCUUUUGGACAGUCCCAUGUUUUAAGCAACAAAGCAGCACAGUGCCACCUGCUGGUAGAUGAGCAAAUGAAGACCGAAAAAAAAAAAAAAAAAAAAAUGGAUUGAGAAAGA